rnacentral:tRNA from 3 species
GGGCUUAGCCCUGUAGCUCAACGGUAGAGCGGGUGAUCCACCUUAACUUGUCGUGCCACCCUAUUUUGGCGAAUGCCUGUGGAUCUACAUUUGUUGCGGGUUCGAGACCCGUCAGAGCCCG